rnacentral:rRNA from 1 species
UUUUGUUGGAGAGUUUGAUCCUGGCUCAGGACGAAC